rnacentral:lncRNA from 1 species
UCAAAUUAAUUCAAUUUAAUUGUUAGAAAUACUGUUUUCUGCUGAAAAUUAAAAAAUAAAUAAAAUUGAAUGGAAUGGAAUGGAAUUGAGCUAUGUACAAUACAGUAAAUAUUAGCAAUUAGAAUUAGACGGUAGACAAGCAUAUUUUGCCUAUUGAUUCUUUUUUGCAUGCCUAUUUGGUUAUAUUAUAAUGCACUAAUUGUUUUGAUACUGUUUAAUGUUUAAAUAAGACCCAUAUGUGAACCAUUUAUGCACUUUUAAUAUAAAGAUCAGAUUCACACAGGAUCAUACAGUUCGAGCUAACUAUUUUAUGUACGAGAGCUAUUACUAAUGUAACG